rnacentral:lncRNA from 1 species
CGUUCUCCAGGGUCAGGUAUUGAAAAUUAGUCUCCGAUGUUAUGAAGCAUUUGAUUGUGGAUUUACAUUUGAACCAAACCUAUUCAUGGAUGGAAUGUUUUUAUCUGCAGACAAGCUUCCCUGCUGUUUCCAAUUUCCAGGACUGAUGUUUGAUUGUAGAUAUGAUGGUGAACUGCAGAAGCCUGUGAUGUUCCCUCAGUCUUGACUUAAGUUAUCAGUAUAUGACCAUGCAAUGUGACAAAAGAUUUUUCUUGGGUUGUGCAGGUUUCAACAUGCUCAUCAGAUAUGGCUUGUAACUAUUGGAAUGACUUGUAGAAAAGAGUGCGAGGAGUUGUAACGUUUAGCUGACAUGUGGUUUCAAGCUUGAAUAAUUCCCUCGCGUCGGUGUGUUUAAUUGGCGUGCGAAAAGGAAAACAGCAGGUUGAAAUGUACCACGCAACAUGGUAUGAUUCCGCAGUAUCUAUAGCAAACAAUAAUAACACAACAUCUGUGUGAGCUGAGGCGUGGCGACGAAAAUGUACAACAGUGUUGUAUUGUUGGUUGUAUACACGUGUCGCUGUUUGUAGUGAGUUGUGAUUCAUGAAUCAAUUUCUUGAGUUCGAAAUCUUACUGUUUCGAAAAUUUGGAUGUCCGAAACUCUUAGGAGUUAUUGAAUGGCUUUGGUAUUUUGCGGUGCUGUUAUGUUAACACAAGUUGGCGGGUAACUUCAGUUCCUUAUUUCACUUCUGUUUCGAAAGGUAAUGACCAUAGCUUCAGCUCAUGUGCCGUAAUCUUAUGCUGCUACUUUUUCUGUAUUGGUGCAAUUGACUAUUGCAGCUGAAUCGAUUAUAAUGUGUUUAUUUGCAUUUAACUUGACUCUGUUGUGUCUGAUGGAUAAAAUGCCUCCAGGAUGUGGUUUAUGACAUUGAUGAGUGCUAUUUCAGAAGAGCAAACAUGUUAAUGGAGAGUGUGGUAUCCAUUGUGGUAAUCGAAUGGUGAUAUCAUGUCUUUGAAUGCCGAUAUCCGAACCCAGCAUGUGUCAAAUUGCGCAGUCCAAGCUCUGAUUAUGCUGCCUUGACAUAUGUUGCGAAAGGGGGCGUGGCUUUUCACAUUAACAAUUCAAUUUGUUGGUUGUUUUCUCAAGUUGGACAUGUUGGGUUUGACUUCUAUGGGCGUGCUGCAGUGUUUUGGCAAUGGAUGUCUUGCAAAGCGAAGUCUUGCAAUUGUGCUGAAUGGUCUUUGGCUUUUAGAAAAACCAGAACCUCUGCCGAAAGUUAUCACAGUACAUCAUCACUUCAAUCCAUACGUAACAGGCCGCAUUAAUUAAAAGUGAUUAGCUUUCAUUUGCUGAGAUCCAAACUUUUGUAUUUCAUUUGAGCUCAUUUCAAACUGUCAUAACUGGAUUAGAAACUUGAAUGCUACAUGUAACUUCUUGUAAUGUCAUGUUUAAAUUGUUCUUCUUGUGAUUUUGAUGUACCUUGAAUCAGUUCUAUCUAAUGGAGUACUAUGAAACAAUUAUGCACUUCCUUGUAAUAGUUUGUAGCUGAUCUGUUACGAAUCACACUGUUUAGCAAUGUGGGUGUCUUGGAGUUUUCUUGAUAAUUACUUUGGAUUUUCUAUGUAUGAACUGGCCUUGCUUCAACUAGUAUUCCACCUUAUGUGACUCCUUCAUCAUGUCUUUUUCCUCGUAUUCAUAUAAUAAUCAUACCGGACAAAAUGGUUUCAUGUUGCAUGUUUCUAUGUACGGAAUGACAUAAUAGUGAUAAGAACUAAGGUGAGGUAUUCUCGUGAUGAAAUGUAGUCAUGUUGUCAUAUGAUGCUAAAUUAAAAAAUGAAAAUUAUUCUAUGAAAUUUAAUAUGCCCGACAAAAUUGGGGUAUGACUCUUGUGGUUGCUUCUCCAUGCCAAAUCUUAACAAUAUUCUUGGCAUAAUUUACUUGAGAUAUAAAGAUAGAUCUCCAUCGGCUUACGAUUGCAGGCCAAGAAAAAGUUAGUCCCCAAAAGCUCAUUCAAUUCAGACUGCAUUUGCUCACACAAAUGUUGAAUUUUAUUAACUUGACAUCACACCAAACACAUAGCAUCCACAUAGAUCUGAGCAACAUGACUUUCCUCCUUCAUCCUUUGACCAAAUAAAUUUAUCAAUACUCCCCUUUCUGUAUCAUUGUCAAUGAGAAACCACUGUGAGUCUCUCAUACCAAGCUCUAGAGCUUGUUUCAACUCAUAAAGGCUUUCCAACGUUAUACAUGCCUUUGGAAGAUUUGGGUUUUGUGAAUCCUUUUGGUGUUCAACCAUAAUUACUUCCUCUUUCAAGUAGCCAUUUAAGAAGGCAUUUUCACAUCCAUUUGGAACAAUUUAAACUUCAAAUACAUCACUCCUAACAAUAAUCUAAUAAUGGACUCAGGCGAGCUACAAGAGAAAAGUUCAUCAAAUGUCAAUCUCCUUCAACUUGAGUGUAUCUUAUGCACCAUCUUGCUUUUAUUUCUAUAACCACAAUCCUUUUUCAUCAGAUUUAUUCUUGUAACCCACUUUGUUCCAAUAACACUUAUUCUUCAGGUCUUGGAACCAAUUCCCUACUUAUCAUUUCUCUUGAAUUGGCCUAAUUUCUUCUGGAUGGCAUUGACCAAAAUUCAUCGUUAGGUUUUUAACAUUCUUAGGCUCAUAUGUUGGACAACAAAACAGCGUAUGAGAUCAUAUCCUUUGAUGCUAGUGGUGACCCCUUUAUUUGGUUUCCCUAUAAUGAGACUUAUGGACGAUCCUUCUGAAUCUGAUGAGAGGUUUCAUUAUAAUCUUAUCAGCUUCAGGUUCAGCUUGAGUGGACUCACUCUCACUAUCUUUGUCCAGGAGAUCAAUUGGGCAUCAUUCAAAAUAUUAAACAUCGUCUAACAUCAGUCUAUUGAUCAUCAACAACAACAUUGAGAGACUCGCAUCAUAACUUUUGUUCUUAAUUAAACAUUCUAAGAGGCUCUCGCUAUUUAUUGAGUAGCCUAGAAUAUUCCUCAACUCUUGGGGUCCAUUUUCCUUCUUUGUUCACGAUCAGCCAGGAUAAGCAUUUACUGCCGAAACAUAUGGAAGUUAUUGCUAGUUACAGUGUUUCUUCCCUCCAGAUCUUAUUAAAGUGGUUGAGGCCCUUUUCUCAGGUUACUCUGUUGUGAACAUAAACAGGCGUGUUCAUAGCUUCCAGCCCAAAGUGGUAAGGCAACUCUUAGCAUGAAAAAAGCCUUAGCAGAUGUCUUGGAGAGUUCUAUUUUUUCCAACCUGGAUUGUAGUGAGUGUGGUAGGGGUUAUUCUUCUCUAAGAAUUUUAUCUCUUCAAUUUGUUGAGGAGUUGCUAAAGCAAUAGCAAUUGUUGAUUUGGUACUUAUUUACGAUUUCACACUGAUGGCCUGAGCGAGUUAGAACUUUGAGCUACCUGUUGAGUACUAUAUUCAUUGCUUUCAUUUAUUUCUACUUCAGAAGCGACUGUAUCUUCCAAACGGAUAUUUUAUUAGCAUCCAGUUUCAAAUCAAUGACUCUUCCAGGUUUGCUUGUACACCUAUCAUAUAGUUCCAGAUGCUCAUUUUGCGGUUAAAGCUUCAAUGAUUCUUUUAAUUCGCGUGCUGUUGAAAAACUUGUUGAGCAUCGACUGCUAAUAGCGAUCACUCUGUUUGUAUUAUUUUCAGCCAUGACAACAUCUACAUUUUUUCAGGUCUGAUCCAUAUUAUGAGAUUGGCAAGCACAGGACCUUUUUGAAUUUUUGUUGGUGACUCCAAAGACUCACCAUCUUUCUGUUUGAAGUCAAGAUUUCAUACCUUUUCCUAAAGAAUACUGAUGGUGGAAAAUACUCGUUUAAGAAUGGAUGUUUCCAUCUCUUUCCAGAUGUAUACUACAGCUCGAAAGAUAGUAAGAACCACUCUUCGCCUCUUCAGAUAAAAUGAAUGAGAACAUUCUUAACUCUUUGCUUCAUCAGUAUGACCAUCAAUUUUCAAAUGUAUACUCAUGGUCAGGAAAUCUCCUAAAGGUGCUUGUUGUGCACUUCAUUAACCUUUCUGGUGAGGUUUUCUCUUAAGUUGAUUGAUUGUGCCAGAUACAAUUGAAAAUUGGUCACAUUUACGUUGGUUUACAAUGGUUAUCUAUCACCCGGUGCAUUUGCACCUCCAUAGUCAACUAGGAGUCUUUCGAAGAUUGAGGCGGUGGACAUGGAGGAAUUUCAGACAUAGUUUCUUUUUCUGAAUCUGAGUGAUCAGAGGGAACUUCUGUCUUGGAAGGCAAUCUAGCGUUUCUGCGUCUCCGGUGAAGGAUUCUCUGAUUUCUGCGUGUAAAUUAUGCUAAGAGCUCUCCUCGCUACACGGAUUAGUGAAUGAAUCUAUCUAAAUUGACAGAAAAAUAAUUUAUUAUCAGAGCAGCAAAUUUAAUUGAACUUAAAAUCAAACUAUAUUUUGGCAGUUCCCGGCAACGGCGGCAAAACUUGAUCGGAAAAAUAGCAGUGUACUAGUUUGCCUGUAUAAGUAAUAAAGGGGAAAUCCUGAAUGUCGAUCUCCAGAGACGCAAGUUAAUAUUGAGUUCAAUUCAUCGUUCAUAAACAAAAUAUAAUUGGGCGUUUAAAUCUCAAAAUUCUAAAAAUACAUGGCCCUAUGUGCAUUAAUAGAUAUACCUUGACGAGAAACCAAGGUUUGCGGAAGUGUAAGAAGGAUGUAAUGCCAUGGCUUUUCGUGUGUAAGCAUUUUUCCUUGUACUGACAAUGUCCUGCUUCCAACUAUGGAGGGUGCUUAAACUAAUUAGCUACCAACAGAUCCUAUCAUAUUUCCUAUAUCACACCUUUCUCAUCAUCAAAGGCUGAUUUUUCUCGCACCGCGCUAUGUGCUGAAAGAACAAUCACUUUCCAUUCUCUCUCACCCAUAUUAUCGUCUACCUGAUCGCAAGCAAACGUUACGGGUUGAAGUUGAAACAAUAUUAUUUAAUAUUUCCCGAACGGAUUCUUAUUCCCNNNNNNNNNNNNNNNNNNNNNNNNNGGAGAUAAGACGACAAUAUCAAAAUAACUUCGAGAGAUAAGGGGCGAGAAGCUACGCUCCCUCUUUACACACCCGAGAUUUAAUUGUAAAGAUAUGUUUUUUAGAUAUUGAUUUGAUUCGAAAUUGAUUUGUAUUGAAUUAUAGGUUUUGAUUUGAUGACGAAGAUUCGAGCAAUUGGCGUACGCCAAUUAUCGAAUAAUAGAAAUAUAGUGAGGCGUACGCCCCAUCUCUUUUUUCAUCUGAAAUAUGGAUUAAAAGGAUUUGGAUAUGUAGAAAUGAUUUGAGAUAUUAUGAUUAUUAGGGUUAUUUGAAUGACGAAAUCCGAGCAAUAUGGCGUACGCCAAUUAUUCGAAUAAUCGAGAGAUAGAAGUGCGGAUGCUUUAUUAUCCUUUUCGUUCAAAUUAAUGUUAAAGUUUUGAGGAGUGUAUUGAUCGAAAGAGUUUUAUUUGAAUGACGAAAAUCGAGCAUGGCGUACGCCAAUUAUUCGAAUAAUCGAGAGAUAAUGAAGCGAUGCUCACUAAUUCCCUUUUCAUUCAAAAGAUUAAUAGACUUUAGAAUUAAUUGUUAAUUGGGAGUGAUUUUAAUUUUAUGGAGUUUUAGGGUUUUAAAUGAAUGACGAAAAUCCGAGCAAUAUGGCGUACGCCAAUUAUUCGAAUAGUCGAGAGAUAGUGAAGCGGAAGCUUACUAUUCUCCUUUUCAUUCAAAGAUUAAUUUAAAAGUUUAAAGGGGUAUAUCGAUUAAAGACUUUGAAUUCGAUUUUACAAAAACAAUAAAGUUUAGAUAAAAGUGUUUGGUAUUUGCUCAAAAUUAAUUUAGUAACAAGAUACAUAAUGAAUUAAGCACUUAUUUACUUUAGUAAAAUCAAUUACUCAUUUAAUCGUACUAUUCUAAAAAUAAAUAGGCUUAAAAUCUUUUUGAAAUAGAAAAACAAAUAAGACCUUGUGUCAUGUCUUUUUACUAAAAUUGCUAUCCAAAAUAUUUAAAUAAAAUGUUGUAGCAAGUUAUAAAGAAAUAAAAUAAACUGGGGUAUGAAUUCAACUAGUGGUACAUUCGGUAACGAAGCAGUAGUCGAAAGGGCAGUUGUACAACUAUCCCUAUCGUGCCACCACAGGUGGCCUUUGAGCUUCAUACACAGGCCACGCGUGAUUUUCUUGGGAAUCGGUGUGUUUGUGUACUCAAUAACCAUAAUAGCUACAUAGCAAUACUACCACUUACACACUAAUAUUCAUACUAAUAAAUGUAAACUCAGCACUUGAACAGUUGUGGAGAUGCAUAAAACAAAACGAAAACAAAAUGCUUAUUCCAAAACUCAGCACUUGAACAGUUGUGGAGAUGCAUAAAACAAAACGAAAACAAAAUGCUUAUUCCUCCUGUUGUUUCUCGCUCAACUUCUGUUUUUUCUUUCAAAGACAAAAUAUUCUUUCCCUCACCCCAAAACAUGCAUCCAUCGAUAAACCCAACACACAAACGUCUAGAUCGAAUGAAAAAGAAAUGCAAAGGGAUUAAAGCUUGACAUCAGUUCUCUUCAACCAAGAUCAAGACGAGAAAAGCAAGAAAAAUGGAUCAUUCGAGAUAAAAGGGAAAAACGGCGAGGGUUUACCCAAUCGGAAGGUCCUCCUGUCCAAGAUCUAGCGUUAUCGCUUGGGUUUUUACGACGAGUGCUCUAACCGCAACUGAUUGUCCAGAUGAGGUAGGUUCAUUAUUCAUGGCUGGGCUUCUUACUUCGCAAUCUCCAUGGUUGUUAGGUUUCUUUCGUUUGGUUAGGGUUGCUAUUAAGGUGGUGGUUUCGCAUAGAUGGUGGUUUUUUAGCUCAAACUUGUUGAAAUUCAGUGUGAAAUCUCAACAAGCUUAGAAAUUUUAGAGCUCUAAAAAGUGUUUUGGAGUUGUUUUCUGCAGAGUAACGGUGCCAAAUUUUCCUCCCCUUUUCCAAUGAUUGGAGACUCUUUAUAUAGAGCUCUGAAUUACCAAGUCUCUCACCUGUGAGCUAGCCAAAAUCUAAGAUUUUCCGUUAGAAUAAAAAUCUCAUCUAGAUUUGGUGUGGUACCUAAAUUGAUGCAGGUGGCAAGGUGAAUUUGUUUUCGUUGGUAAAAUCUUAAGCGUGUAACCAUCCUCAACAACUCUUUUUUACCGUGGUAAGAAUGUAUCUGGCAUGGUAAGAAUCUUGAUUUUACUACCCUGUAACCCUGAAUUUCUCGCAGGUUUUGAUUAACUGGUGCGACGAAAAAAAAACAAUUAUUCAAAAGCCAUUCGCACUACUGUUAAUGAUGAUCUAAUAUGAUAGUAUUCUUGGCCAGUUUGGUUAUUGCUCUCUUAAUGCUGUCAAUUGUUGUUCUGCAGGUUCACAGUUGAUUAAGAUAACAUGAGUCACGGUAGCAUCAAAUACUAUGGACCUUGAGUUGGAGACAUGGUCCAUCCUUCAAGAUCCAGGCCAUGGUUUACCGGAAUCAAGAUUCACACUUCUGCCAAACUAAAUCACCGAGGAAGUUUCAUCUGAAUCGCCUUCUUGCAGAAGUAAUUGAUCACUAUAAUUAGGGUCCCGUUCUCCAGGGUCAGGUAUUGAAAAAUUAGUCUCCCGACUGUUAUGAAGCAAUUUGAUUGUGGAUUUACAUUUGAACCAAACCUAUUCAUGGAUGGAAUGUUUUUAUCUGCAGACAAGCUUCCCUGCUGUUUCCAAUUUCCAGGACUGAUGUUUGAUUGUAGAUAUGAUGGUGAACUGCCAGGAGCCUGUGAUGUUCCCUCAGUCUUGACUUAAGUUAUCAGUAUAUUGACCAUGCCAAUGUGACAAAAAGAUUUUUUCUUGGGUUGUGCAGGUUUCAACAUGCUCAUCAGGAUAUGGCUUGUAACCUAUUGGAAUGACUUGUAGAAAAAGAGUGCGAGGAGUUGUAACGUUUAGCUGACAUGUGGUUUCAAGCUUGAAUAAUUUCCCCUCGCGUCGGUGUGUUUAAUUGCGUGCGAAAGAGGAAAACAGCAGGUUGAAAUGUAACACAGCAACAUGGUAUGAUUCCCGCAGUAUUCCAUAGCAGAACAAUAAUAACACAACAUCUGUGUGAAGCUGAGGCGUGGCGACGAAAAAUGUACAACGAGUGUUGUAUUGUUGGGUUGUAUAACCGUGUCGCUGUUUGUAGUGAGUUGUGAUUCAUGAAUCAAUUUUCUUGAGUUCUGAAAUCCUUACUGUUUCGAAAAUUUGGAUGUCCGAAACUCUUAGGAAGUUUAUUGAAUGGCUUUGGUAUUUUGCAGGGUGCUGUUAUGUUAACACAAGUUGGCGGGUAACUUCAAGUUCCAUUAUUUCACUUCUGUUUCGAAAGGUAAUGACCAUAGCCUUCAGCUCAUGUGCCGUAAAUCUUAUGCUGCUACUUUUCUGAUAUUGGUGCAAAUUGACUAUUGCAGCCUGAAUUCGAUUAUAAUGUGUUUUAUUUGCAUUUAACUUGACUCUGUUGUGUCUGAUGGAUAAAAAUGCCUCCAGGAUGUGGUUUAUGGACAUUGAUGAGUGCUAUUUCAGAAGCCAAAACAUGUUUAAUGGAGAGUGUGUAUCAACUUGGUUGUAAUCGAAUGGUGAUAUCAUGGUCUUUGAAUGCCGAUAUCCGAACCCAGCAUGUGUCAAUUGCGCAGUCCAAGCUCCUGAUUAUGCUGCCUUGACAUAUGUUGCGGAAAGGGGGCGUGGCUUUUCACAUUAACAACUUCAAUUUGUUGGUUGUUUUGCUCAAGUUGGACAUGUUGGGUUUGACUUCUAUGGCGCGUGCUGCAGUGUUUUGGCCAAUGGAUUCUUGACAAAGCCGGAAGUCUUGCAAUUGUGCUGAAUGGUCUUUGGCUUUUUAGAAGAACCAGAACCUCUGCCGAAAGUUAUCACAGUACAUCAUCACUUCAAACUCCAUACGUAACAGGCCCGCAUUAAAUUAAAGUGAUUAGCUUUCAUUUGUCUGAGAUCCAAACUUUUGUAUUUCAUUUGAGCUCAAUUUCAAACUGUCAUAACUGGAUUAGAAACUUGAAUGCUACAUGUAACUUUCUUGUAAUGUCAUGUUUAAAUUGUUCUUCUUGUGAUUUUGAUGUACCUUGAAUCAGUUCCUAAUCUAAUGGAGUACUAUUGAAACAAUUAUGCACUUCCCUUGUAAUAGUUUGUAGCUGAUCCUGGUUACCGAAUCACACUUGUUUAGCAAUGUUGGUGUCUUGGAGUUUUCUUGAUAAAUACUUUGGAUUUUCUAUGUAUGAAUGGCCUUGCUUCAA